rnacentral:rRNA from 1 species
UACGGAGGGUGCAAGCGUUAUCCGGAUUUAUUGGGUUUAAAGGGUCCGUAGGCGGACUUGUAAGUCAGUGGUGAAAUCUCACAGCUUAACUGUGAAACUGCCAUUGAUACUGCAGGUCUUGAGUAAGGUAGAAGUGGCUGGAAUAAGUAGUGUAGCGGUGAAAUGCAUAGAUAUUACUUAGAACACCAAUUGCGAAGGCAGGUCACUAUGUCUUAACUGACGCUGAUGGACGAAAGCGUGGGGAGCAAACAGG